rnacentral:misc_RNA from 1 species
GAAAUGCGAUAAGUAAUGUGAAUUGCAGAAUUCCGUGAAUCAUCGAAUCUUUGAACGCACAUUGCGCCCUCUGGUAUUCCGGGGGGCAUGCCUGUCCGAGCGUCAUUGCGAACCCCUCAAGCACGGCUUGUGUGAUGGGCCCUCCCGCGUCUUGGUCGUCAAGACGGGCCCGAAAUGCAGUGGCGGCUUCGCGGUUAUCCGAUCAGCCAGAGCGUAUGGGGACUUUCUCUCUGUCACACGCCCGCGGCGCGGACCGACGCCUGUCGACCUUUAUUCAUCCUUUUCUCGGUUGACCUCGGAUCAGGUAGGGAUACCCGCUGAACUUAAGC